rnacentral:lncRNA from 1 species
UGAGGCCCCAGAAGGCCUGAGGCAGGUCCAUCGUGUCACAGGAGCGUCCUCGUUUAGGGGCAGACCAGUGGCAAGCUGAAAGGGAGGUCACCUGCUGUGCAGGAGGAGGAAGAGGAAGACCAGGUCAGACAGGGUGCCCAGGCCAGGUCGGGGAUUCUUGACGGCCCUCUGGCUAAGAGGUGACCACUGCCCAUUGGCAGGUUAAGUGCUGAGUUGAACUGAACUGAACACAGUGGGGAGAAUAGAGGUGUGUUCCUGAGCUCACAGCUUCAGUUAGUCCUGAGAGACAAAGGACUAAAGUUCAGAACAACUAUUGUAAACCCUAGAAAGCUCCUCAACUUCCCCAAG